rnacentral:tRNA from 1 species
AGCCACAACUCCGGCGGCGAACUCACUCUUGCUGCUCAGCCCUCUCAAGGCUGAAACAGGGGAUCGAUUCCCCUAGGGAGCGCCA